rnacentral:rRNA from 1 species
UACGUAGGGGGCAAGCGUUGUCCGGAUUUAUUGGGCGUAAAGAGCGUGUAGGCGGUUUGGUAGGUCCGCUGUGAAAACUCGAGGCUCAACCUCGAGACGCCGGUGGAAACCAUCAGACUAGAGUCCGGAAGAGGAGAGUGGAAUUCCUGGUGUAGCGGUGAAAUGCGCAGAUAUCAGGAGGAACACCGGUGGCGAAGGCGGUGGUCUGGGCCGGAACUGACGCUGAGGAGCGAAAGCGUGGGGAGCGAACAGG